GCAGGCGGCCGGGCGAUCGCUGCUGCGCGGGCCGUGAGGCGUUGCGCAGGGGAGGAAAGUCCGAACUCCGCAGGGCAGUGUGCCGGAUAACGUCCGGGGCCCGCUUCUUAAAGAGCGGGUACGGCCAGUGCAACAGAAAGCAAACCGCCUCAGGCUGAGGAGCGACUCGCGCAAGCGGCGUUCCUGCAAACGGCUUGAGGUAAGGGUGAAAGGGUGGGGUAAGAGCCCACCGCGUUGUUAGCAAUAACAACGGCAUGGUAAACCCCACACGGAGCAAGACCAAAUAGGCAGGGAAAUCGCCGCUCCUCUUCAGGCGGCGAUUGCGUGACGGCCCGUCGCGCCCAGGCGAAGAGAGUUCGCAAGAGCUUGCCGGAACCUGCGGGUAGGUUGCUGGAGCGCGUCAGCAAUGACGCGCCUAGAGGAAUGAUCGCUUAGAACAGAAUUCGGCUUACGGGCCGCCUGCGAAA
rnacentral:RNase_P_RNA from 1 species